rnacentral:lncRNA from 1 species
CUAGAGCAAGGCUUUUAAACUUUGGGGUCAGGACGACAGGGAUUCUUUCUAUUCUUUCUAGACAUAGGUGUGUUUGAAACUUUGCAGUCAGGGAGGAGGCUCUCCGAGGUGUGGGUUCCAAGUGAACAUAACCACCAGCUGGAGGCUGGGGACCAGGAUCUCCAACCAGCAGCUGACCUUUCUGCCCUUGGCGCCCUUUUGCUCCCUUGGCUGUCCUUACAGGCCUAUGGGAUUUCAGGCCUCCCCUCCACGCCCAGUUGGAAGCACCGAUGGCAGAAUAUUAACUACCAGUUCCAGAGCAAGAGGAAGAGACACCUGGUUUUCCUGCGCCCGUGAGAGCCGGGAUUUGGGGACACAGGCUUCAGGCUUUUUGCAUGAUGAUCCCGAAGCAGACUUGCACCAUGCCAAGGAUGAGCUGGAAGGAGUGCUGAACAAUUCAGUGCCCCCUGUCUUCAGAUUAUCUGCCUUAUCUCCCUCUUGGGGUCUCUGAGAUCCUGCCCUUCACACUCCAAAUAAAUGAGCUUCUGCCUCUCUGGGCCUCUCUCUGCUUUAUUGAGGGGAUAUUCUGUGUACCGAGGGACACACUGAGUUGACUGAACCCAUGGGCUGGGGAGUGUCCACCAUCAUGCCUUGAUGCUGCCCCCACACCCAUCGACCCAUGAAUCCCCACUGCUGUGCCAUAGAAAGAAAGGCAGAGACAUGCAGAG